rnacentral:rRNA from 1 species
AUUGAACGCUGGCGGCAGGCCUAACACAUGCGAGUCGAGCGGAUGAAGGGAGCUUGCUCCUGGAUUCAGCGGCGGACGGGUGAGUAAUGCCUAGGAAUCUGCCUGGUAGUGGGGGAUAACGUCCGGAAACGGGCGCUAAUACCGCAUACGUCCUGAGGGAGAAAGUGGGGGAUCUUCGGACCUCACGCUAUCAGAUGAACCUAGGUCGGAUUAGCUAGUUGGUGGGGUAAAGGCCUACCAAGGCGACGAUCCGUAACUGGUCUGAGAGGAUGAUCAGUCACACUGGAACUGAGACACGGUCCAGACUCCUACGGGAGGCAGCAGUGGGGAAUAUUGGACAAUGGGCGAAAGCCUGAUCCAGCCAUGCCGCGUGUGUGAAGAAGGUCUUCGGAUUGUAAAGCACUUUAAGUUGGGAGGAAGGGCAGUAAGUUAAUACCUUGCUGUUUUGACGUUACCAACAGAAUAAGCACCGGCUAACUUCGUG